GUGACUGCGUACCUUUUGUAUAAUGGGUCAGCGACUUAUAUUCUGUAGCAAGGUUAACCGAAUAGGGGAGCCGGAGGGAAACCGAGUCUUAACCGGGCGUUAAGUUGCAGGGUAUAGACCCGAAACCCGGUGAUCUAGCCAUGGGCAGGUUGAAGGUUGGGUAACACUAACUGGAGGACCGAACCGACUAAUGUUGAAAAAUUAGCGGAUGACCUGUGGCUGGGGGUGAAAGGCCAAUCAAACCGGGAGAUAGCUGGUUCUCCCCGAAAGCUAUUUAGGUAGCGCCUCGUGAAUUCAUCUCCGGGGGUAGAGCACUGUUUCGGCUAGGGGGCCAUCCCGGCUUACCAACCCGAUGCAAACUGCGAAUACCGGAGAAUGUUAUCACGGGAGACACACGGCGGGUGCUAACGUCCGUCGUGAAGAGGGAAACAACCCAGACCGCCAGCUAAGGUCCCAAAGUCAUGGUUAAGUGGGAAACGAUGUGGGAAGGCCCAGACAGCCAGGAUGUUGGCUUAGAAGCAGCCAUCAUUUAAAGAAAGCGUAAUAGCUCACUGGUCGAGUCGGCCUGCGCGGAAGAUGUAACGGGGCUAAACCAUGCACCGAAGCUGCGGCAGCGACGCUUAUGCGUUGUUGGGUAGGGGAGCGUUCUGUAAGCCUGUGAAGGUGGCCUGUGAGGGUUGCUGGAGGUAUCAGAAGUGCGAAUGCUGACAU
rnacentral:rRNA from 1 species